GAUGAACGCUGGCGGCGUGCCUAAUACAUGCAAGUCGAGCGAACGGACGAGAAGCUUGCUUUUCUGAUGUUAGCGGCGGACGGGUGAGUAACACGUGGAUAACCUACCUAUAAGACUGGGAUAACUUCGGGAAACCGGAGCUAAUACCGGAUAAUAUUUUGAACCGCAUGGUUCAAAAGUGAAAGACGGUCUUGCUGUCACUUAUAGAUGGAUCCGCGCUGCAUUAGCUAGUUGGUAAGGUAACGGCUUACCAAGGCAACGAUGCAUAGCCGACCUGAGAGGGUGAUCGGCCACACUGGAACUGAGACACGGUCCAGACUCCUACGGGAGGCAGCAGUAGGGAAUCUUCCGCAAUGGGCGAAAGCCUGACGGAGCAACGCCGCGUGAGUGAUGAGGGUCUUCGGAUCGUAAAACUCUGUUAUUAGGGAAGAACAUAUGUGUAAGUAACUGUGCACAUCUUGACGGUACCUAAUCAGAAAGCCGCGGCUAACUACGUG
rnacentral:rRNA from 1 species